rnacentral:lncRNA from 1 species
AAAGCAGUCAAGCAGCCAAGUGCAUGAGCUCUCCAAAUGCAAUAGAAGAAAUAUAACCUAUUUUACUAGGGAGCACUCUAGUGAAACAAUCAUGUGUACUUUGAUUAGUUUCAUUAACAUAUUAUUUUUACCUUCAGUUCUAUGUACAAAUAUUUCAUAUGCAGUUAACUUACACAUAUAGUCUGAGCUUAAGGCUUCUUCCAGGUCCAGUCAGGUGAGAUUUACUGUAAAUAGGUACUAGAGCUAAAUCAAAUUAGUGUUUGGAUGAUCUUUUCAGUGAUAUUUGCCAUGUGUACCUUGAUCCUUUCCUUAGAAAUAUGAUUAAUUGUUAAAUUAUUUACUUCUCUAUGCAAAUUAGGUACUCAGUCUUUUCUGCACUUUUUGUUCUAGAAAAGAACCAAAGAAGAUACUUGGAAAGCAGAAGAACUUAGGAAACAUCUAAAGGCAUCACUACCAGAACAAAAUGAAGACCAAAAACACAGAGAGAAGAAACUGCAGAGAGAGAGGACUGUUUAUGACAUAGACCCUAACAGACGUGAACUCAGAGGCAGAGAGAAGAGCAAGGAAAGAACAAGAGAGAGAGAAAGAUUUAAAUCCAGUGAAAGGAACAGGGACAAACGGAGAGAAAGGGAACAGGAACACCAGAGAGAAGACCGAGGGAGACACAAAGAUAAGGUUCAAGAGUCAUAUUUGGAGGAGAGACAUGGUAUACUGAAACAUAAAGACAGAGAGACUGAUAGAGAACGAGACAAAAAGCACAAGACAUAUGAAAUAAAGCAAACAGAUCCACAAAAUUACCUGAAAUCAUUUGAAGGAAGAGAUACAGAACAUCACAGAAGAAGAGAAAUCAGGCAUCGUUUGGAGGAGGAGAAAGCAAGAACUGAGGAGCGAGAAAGAAGACAUAAAGCACAGAAGGAUAAUGAUUUAAGAAAGAAAAUUGAGAAAGUUUUAGCCUACAAAGUUGAAGAAGGUGAACGUGUACACAAGUUAGAGAAACAUCAAGAGCUGGAUAAAGAGAGAGAAAGAAAACACAGAGAAAAAAAAGAACAUUCUGUUGGGACAGAAAAAGAGAGGCUUUCUAAAGAGAAAAGUCAUAAACAUUAUGGAAAGGGAGAGGAAGAAAAGCAUAAAUCGAAGAGAUCUAAAGAAAAGUCUUCCCAUGGAGACAGAGAGGGGCCAGCAGCAGAAGCUAAGGAGAGAGUAAAAAGUAGAGAAAAUGAGAGAAAGAAACAUGAUCUAAAGAACAGUGAAUACAAAAAGG